rnacentral:tRNA from 1 species
GCCGCCUUAGCUCAGUUGGUAGAGCAGCGGUUUUGUAAACCGCAGGUCGUCGGUUCGAGUCCGAUUGGCGGCU